rnacentral:rRNA from 1 species
UUUCCGGUUGAUCCCGCCGGACCUGACUGCUAUCGGAUUGAUACUAAGCCAUGCGAGUCUUUGUAGUAAUACAAGGCAUACGGCUCAGUAACGCGUAGUCAACCUACCCUAUGGACAAGAAUAAUCUCGGGAAACUGAGCAUAAUUCUUGAUAGAUCAUAAUGCCUGGAAUGGUUUAUGGUUAAAAUGAUUCGUCGCCAUAGGAUGGGACUGCGGCCUAUCAGCUUGUUGGUGAGGUAAUGGCCCACCAAGGCGAUAACAGGUACGGGCUCUGAGGGGAGAAGCCCGGAGAUGGGUACUGAGACAAGGACCCAGGCCCUAUGGGGCGCAGCAGGCGAGGAAACAUUGCAAUGUGCGAAAGCACGACAAGGUUAGUCCGAGUGAUUUCUGCUAAAGAGAUCUUUUGCUAGUUAUAAAACCACUAGUGAAUAAGGGGUGGGCAAGUUCUGGUGUCAGCCGCCGCGGUAAAACCAGCACCUCAAGUGGUCAGGAUGAUUAUUGGGCCUAAAGCAUCCGUAGUCGGCUCUGUAAGUUUUCGGUUAAAUCUAUACGCUCAACGUAUGGGCUGCCGAAAAUACUGUAGAGAUAGGGAGUGGGAGAGGUAGACGGUACUCGGUAGGAAGGGGUAAAAUCCUUUGAUCUAUCGAUGACCACCUGUGGCGAAGGCGGUCUACCAG